rnacentral:rRNA from 1 species
ACAUGCCUACAACAUAGCUUUAAUGCAUUAGAUCCCAUUAGAACUCCGCAAUUAAGCACGUUCAUGCUAGAGUAAUACCGGGAUGGGUGACCGCCUGGGAAGUCCUAGUGUUUUACAUGCA